rnacentral:lncRNA from 1 species
GUCAUUUUUUUCUUUUUUUCUUUUUUCUUUGUGUUGGCAUCUCAGGCCACUGGAGGCAUGGCCCACAUCCUGGUUUGAUUUGGGAGAAUCCCAAGAUGUGUCCCCUCACCUACCCCCAUGCUAAGAGUUGCAAGACAUCAGUAUUAUUCCUCAAGGGAUAGGGUGCAUAGCUCCCCCUGCAGGGAGAUGGGGGAGGGGUGGAAAGGGGUGGCCUGAAAGGAUGGCUCAGUUUUCCCCAUCUGCGAAGUGGGUUCAUCCUCCAAGUUCCCUCAGGCGCUUCUGUCAGCUAAACAGUGGGGUCAGAGGAGUGAGAAACUCUCCCUCUUUCUCUGUCUGGGACAGACAGGGUAGGAGAAGGGGGUUGGGUUGGGCCGUCUUUGCAGACCUGAUUGCUAAGUCCUUGUUAGGACCUUAAGCUAGCCUCUCCCAGGCUUGUUCUCUCUCAGAAAAUGGGGGGAAUUGGAAGACCUCUAAGGCCCCGUGGGUACCCUGGGUCCUUAGAUACAAUGGCUCACUCCCGCAUUCCACCUCUUGGGCCCAGACCUUCUGCCACGUGGCCAUGCCUCCAGUGCCUCCAUUCAACCCCCUCUAACUGAUUCCUUCCAUCCUCUGCGACCAGAGACGCCGCCCACCUCCUCCCCGCCACCCGCAGAAGCUCCUGGCUGGGGCCCACUGCCCUCUCCUCUCCCCUUCCCCCCAUUGCCAUGCCUGGGCCACGCCCACCCCCUACCCACCCACCCCCCAGUGUCCGUCGUGUGACUAGUGCACCAUGUAUUAGCUUCCAUGGCCCCCACCCCGGCCCCCACCACACCCCCUCCCCCCACCCCUUCUCCCUCGGCGACUUCACCUUUUUUUGCCGCGAUAAACGCCAUCUCAGCAUCUGUGUCUAAUGUUGUCUUUUUUGCUUGACAUCACACACUCCUUCUUAACCCAUCCCCUGCCCUCUCCCUCCUCCCCACACCUCCACCCUCAUCCUGAAUUCUUUCCCCCUUUCCCCCAGGGCUCUGGGCAUCUAGGGGAGGAGGGUGGGGAGACCCCUGAGGAGCCCCCCCCCCCAGGGGGAAGAGGGGUGGGACCAGUUGUUCUCUCUGGACUAGGUGAGCACCCAGAGCAAGUUUGUCUGAGGGGAGCAAGCAAUCCAGGUUUAGCCUCCGGGCCUCAGUGUCGAAUCAAGAAGGCUGACACCACCACACACUCGGCACCAUGACCCCACAAACACACUGCUGGACGCACCUCCCCACAUAGCACUGCACAUGCACAACCCCAAGUCAAGUCAGAAGAGCCCAGGUUAAGGUUUUGGAGUCAGGUGAGUUGAGAUCCUCGUGCUGCUAUGUAACCCUGGGACUUUGAGCCUCUGAGCCUCCAUCUCCCCAUCUGUAAAAUGGAGAUUUUUUAAAAAUGUUACCUCUGUAAUUUAUGCUAGGAUUCAGUAUAUGAUUCACUUAAGAAAAAAUUACCGAGCACCUACAGAGUUCCCUUGUGGUGCAGUGGGUUAAGGAUCCGGAUCCAGCGUUGCCACUGAAGGGGCUCUGGUCACUGCAGUGGCACGGAAUCGAUCCCUGGCCUGGGAACUUCCACAUGCCAUGGACGAGGCCAUCCCCCCCAAAAAAAUUACUGAGUACUCACUAUGGAUAAGGCACUAUUCUAGGUGCUGGAGAUAAAACAGCCAACAGAACAGACUCAAACGUCUCUGCCUUGAUGGAGCAGACAUUCUACUGGAAUCUGGAAACUUAUCCUUAGCACAGAACCUGGCACAUGGGACUAAAAACCAUUCAAAGUUUGCAGCCAGCCAUCGGCCAGCAGGCAGGUCUGGUGCAUACAUCACCUUGUUUGGCCUGGCAAGUGUUUUCAUGUGGAUUUGGUGCCAGCAUUUAAAUUUAAACUCAGGAGUCUUUCUCCUCUUGAGAAACCAGAUGUGGCAUCUCUGAGUGGUGACUGUCACCUGGCCAUAAUGGGCUGGAGGGGGACAGCCACGCACUGCCCACCAUCCAGGCCAGGCAGCCUCAGCCCCUCGCGGACCUGCACUGCUCAUUUGUGUCACGUGCUUGUCCCCAGACACAUUUGCACUUGCACUUCCUGUGGUUAAUAUUGAGCACAAACAUAUUCCAUUUUGGUGGUGUCACCGAUGCUGCUGGGCAGGUGACGAUGUGCCAGGGGGGAGAAAGGAUGAAAUUUGAGAUAGAGAGACAAAAGAGAUGGCUUGAGGCUGUGGUUUUGGUGUGACCAGGGCACCUCACCUCCUCUCUCUGGGUCUCAGUCUCCACAUCUGAAGACCAAGCUGUUCUUACCUUCCGGAAUAUUCCAGGAAGGAUUCCAUGAGACAAUCACCCCUUCACUACCUGACUCAGGGGAGACACUCAGCUAUGAUGGUCAGUGGAGCAACCCACCCAACUGGAAAAUUACAGUAACAUGAUUCCAGAGGACAGACACCAAGAGAGGGGAGGAGCUGAAAAGAGGAGACAGCGGCUAGGACAAAGUCAGAAACAGAUGGCGAUGCGGACGAGGAGGGCAGACAUGGAGAGGAAUCCUCAACUGCUUGGGGUGUGUUUUCUCAUUCGUUCACUCAUUCAUUCAUUCACCAGACAUUCGUUGAGCACCUACCAUGUUCUCAGGCCUGGGGACAUGGCGACGAUGGUGACAAGUCUUAGCUCUCCUUUGUACAGCCAGAUCACUGUAUCCCCAACGCUUAGCACAUAGUAGAUGCUCAAAUGUCUCCCAUCCCGCGUCCACAGGCACCUCUGGUCCUGGCCUGUGACCCUCCAGUAUUACUUGAUAUUCAGAAUUACCACCCAGCCAAGCCCAUUUUCAGGAAAAGUAAAGGAAUUGUCCACCAGGAACCUGGAAACUUGGAAGAGUUGAGGGGAGGCCAGGGAGAUGGUUUGGUCUCAGUGAUGCUGUGUGAUGUGGGGAAACUCAUGACCUCUCUGGUUCAGGAGAUGGAAUGGAAAGAAGAUGAGGCUGGGAUGCAGGUGAGUAAUGGGGCAUUCCUAACCCCCUCAGAGGUUCCAGAUUUUCUCCUUUGGUAGGGGAGGGGGAGAAUUGCAGGAGUGGAGGGCUUUGAUGAGAGGAGAGAUGAAGAAAGAAGACGGGGGAGUUUCCUGGAGGAGAGAGAUGGCCCUGGAGACAGGGCUGGGGUGGGAGGACAGAGGCAGGAGGAGGCCUGGGGGUCUCAGAGGUGGCUCUGAGAGGCCACUGCACCUUAGAGCAAGGUCAUUAAGAGUGAACCACGAAGGCAGAGGUGGACUGGAAGAGGCACAAACAGGAAACGGAAACAGAGCAGAAACAGAACAGAGGGAGAUACGGUGGCUGGAUUUAGCACAGAGAAGUACAGUAUGUCCAGUGAAAUUUAAAUUUCAAACUAGGAGUUCCCUGGUGGCCUAGGAGCUUAAGGAUCCACCAUUGUCACUGUUGUGAUAGUGUUCCAUCCCUGACUGGGGAACUCCUACGUGCUGAGGGUGUGGCCAAUAAAUAAAUACAUAAAUCUCCAAUAUUAAAAAAGAUUAACUUGGAGUUCUUGCUGUGGUGCAGCAGGUUAAGGAUCUGGCAUUGUCACAGUUGUGGCAUAGGUCACAGCUGCAGCUUGGAUUUGAUCCCUGGCUUGGGAACUUCCAUAUGGCAUGGGUGCAGCCAAAAAAAAUUUUUUUUUACUUUUAAAAAAAAGUAAAAAAAAAAUUAAUUUUCUUAAGUAUAAAUAUGUCCCAAGCCACAUUGGGAACAUCCUUAAACUAAAAUAUUAGUUAUUCUUCAACUGUAAUAAAAAAUUAAAAAAAAAACCUUCACUUUAAUAAAAAAAAUUUAAAACAACUAUAAUAAUUUUUUUUGUCUUUUUAGGUCCGCACCCACGGCAUAUGAAAGUUCCCAGGCUAGAGGUCGAAUCAGAUCUGCAGCUGCCAGCCUACACCACAGCCACAGCAACUCAGGAUCCGAACUGCAUCUGUGGCCUACGCCACAGCUCACAGCAAAACGCCAGAUCUUUAACCCACUGGAGCAAGGCCAGGGAUGGAACCUGCAUCCUCAUGGAUACCAGUCAGAUUCAUUUCCGCUAAGCCACGACGGGAACUCCCAUAAAAAAUAUAUAUUUUUAAAAAAUAAAAAAUAAAAUAUUAGUUGUUGCUUACCUAAAGUUCAAGUGUCGGUGAGCAUCCUGUAUUUUAUCUGGCCACCCUAGGGGAAGGAGAACAAAGAUCUGAGGGUUUACAGUGAAGCCAGAGCUAGUCAGUGGAGCCAGGUCCUCCAAGUCCACUUUCUGGAAUCCUAAAUCUGGUGGGCCCAGCUCACUGCCUCUCUCUCGGCCUCACUCUUCCAGCUCUCUGUCUCUAAGACCCCCUCUCUUGUUCCCUCAGCCUCCCUCUCUUCCAAUUCAAACCCUCUCUCUGAUUCUGAUCCCUCCCCUGCUUUAGUUCCUCCGUCUCUCUGUAUACCAUCCCCCCCAACACACACACACACACACACACACACACACACACACACACACACACACAGAGCAAAUCCACCUCAGACAUCAAAAGGGGUUGAGUUCCCAAAUCAUCAAGGGGGCUGGUCUUCGGGAGUAAAAGCCUGAGGGACAGAGAGGUGGGGACUGCACCCAGGGACAUUCCCUGGUUCUCAGGACCGUUGAAGCUGGGACGUUGGGAAAAAGAGACAUUCUGCCAGAAGAAUGCUCCUUGGAGAUUCUGGCAAGGCAGGGACUUCUCCAGCAUCCCCUCCCUCCUCCUGCCUCCAACUGCCACACCUUCUGGAGAAGUUUAGUCCCUAAAGGGUCCUCUCUGCUAACACUCCCACUUCAGCUUUCUGGGGAGGUCUCUAUGACUUCCCAGACCCUCGCCCUGACUUUUGCUGCCGCUCCUAUCUGUUUACAUUCAGGAUUUCUCUGGGAGUCUGUCUCUCAGCACACCUUCCUCCUGUCCAUUGAGCUCUCUCGGUCUCUCUCUAUUCCCCCCCCGCCCCAUCCCCUCUUUUUGUAAAUUUCAUCCCAUUGUAUUUCUACUGGGCUCUGUCUCUCUUCUAGUCUCUGCUGGGGGUGGGGGGGGAAGUGUCUCUGUGUACCUCUGAAUCACUUCCCCUGUUUAUGCCUGUCUGGAUCCCUUUCCCCCUGUAUGUGUACCGAUUAUUAAUUGCUCAGCGGCAGCCACAGAAUCCACCCCGGCCAGUGUAGCAGAAAGGGACUUAUUAAGGGGCCCAAAACCUGGCAGAAGAAGCAGCCUCCAGGGCGCACCCAAAUCCACCGCCCAGAAAGGGCCGUCGGGAACUGCUGCUCCCCUCCGCAAUCAGGAAGCCUGCCACUGGCCCCACAACCACAUCAGAUCGCUCACAUCUACACUGGCAGCGCCUCGGCUUCUCGGCCGCCGCUUUUCCCACUUACCUUGGUUGGAAAGUCAAGCUUCCCACAAAGGCAUCUGAUUGGUGGGACCUAAACCUCCGCGGGGCGCUCCCAACCACAAGGCACUCUGGGAAAUGUAGUUUUUAGGUUGCCAGCACUUUCAGUCCCAGGAAAGGGCAGGAGGAGAGUAGAAGAAUACACAGUAAAUGGAAAAGAUGUUGAGGGGCCCAUUGACUUCCUAUCAUUGCGCACACUCUCUGUCCGCCCAACUCUGUUUUUAUAUGUAUGUGUUUCUCACAUUCAGUCUUUCUGUUUGUCUCUGGGUUUUUGCCUCUUUUUCACUGUUUUGUUUUAUUUCAUCAGUGGCUGCAUAACCAGUGCCAAGCCCCAUGGUUUCCCUGCCUCACCCUCACCUUUUUCCCCAAUUCCAGCUUUAGUAUGUAGGGGAGUCUCCCUCUUGACCCACCCCCGAUUCUAAGCCGCAGUGGAGGCUGAGCACUGUAGAGAAGGAAGAUACCGGUGCUUCCUGAGUCAGUGGACAAGCCAGGGAGGGGACCCAAGCUAUAGCAUGUCUCAGUUGCUCUCCCCGUAGGUGGGAAAAUCCAGCCCCCACAGGUGGGCAAUGUGAAAUGAAAGAGUUUGGUAAGUUCCUGGCCGGAGCUGGGGUGGCCACAGGGGUUUGGGGACAGAGCCCAGCCCUCAGUUGGCCAGAUGUGGUAACUCAACCUGCUCUCCUGGAAGCUAUGGCAACCUCGACUCUCUCCCCCUCCUCACUGUUCUUCCUCUUACCCAGUGAUCUUAGAACCACACGGAAAUGGAACUGCAUCCUUCUCCGGAAGUACAUGGUCAUUCCAAAAACAUUUAUUAAGCACCUACUAUGUGCCAG